UACGUAGGUGACCAGCGUUGUCCGGAUUUACUGGGCGUAAAGAGCGCGCAGGCGGUCGUUCAAGUCGAGUGUGAAAGCCCCCCGGCUCAACUGGGGAGGGUCAUUCGAUACUGAUCGACUUGAAGGCAGGAGAGAGAAGUGGAAUUCCCGGUGUAGUGGUGAAAUGCGCAGAUAUCGGGAAGAACACCCGUGGCGAAGGCGGCUCUCUGGGACGGUACUGACGCUGAGACGCGAAAGCGUGGGGAGCGAACAGG
rnacentral:rRNA from 1 species